UACGUAGGGUGCAAGCGUUGUCCGGAAUUAUUGGGCGUAAAGAGCUCGUAGGCGGUUCGUCGCGUCGGCUGUGAAAUCCCGGAGCUCAACCCCGGGUCUGCAGUCGAUACGGGCGGACUCGAGUUCGGCAGGGGAGACUGGAAUUCCUGGUGUAGCGGUGAAAUGCGCAGAUAUCAGGAGGAACACCGGUGGCGAAGGCGGGUCUCUGGGCCGAUACUGACGCUGAGGAGCGAAAGCGUGGGGAGCGAACAGG
rnacentral:rRNA from 1 species